rnacentral:rRNA from 1 species
AGGAGGGGAACGUAACCCGGACGAAGUCGGACUAAUACCGCAUAAAACAGGGGCGACCGCAUGGUGAUAUUUGUUAAAGAAAUUCGCUGAUAGAUGGGCAUGCGUUCCAUUAGGUAGUUGGUGAGGUAACGGCUCACCAAGCCGACGAUGGAGUAGGGGAACUGAGAGGUUCGGUCCCCCACACUGGUACUGAGACACGGACCAGACUCCUACGGGGAGGCAGCAGUGAGGAAUACUGGUCAAGUGGGCGAGAGCCUGAACCAGCCAAGUCGCGUAGGAAGGAAGAAGGAUCUAUGGUUACGUAAACUUUCUUUGCAGGGGAAUAAAGUGCGGGACGUGUCCUGUUUUGUAUGUACCCUGAGAAUAAGGAUCGGCUAACUCCGUGCCAGCAGCGGC